rnacentral:lncRNA from 1 species
GUGCUGCCCCUGAGGGAUGGGGAUGUGGCCAGAGCAUCCUCACACCUCUUUGUCCAUGUCUCUGCACCCCUAAAUCCCUAAAUCCCUGCAUCCUCACCCCUUAUCCCUUCACUCUGCAUCCCUGGAUCCCCAUCCCCACAUCCCCAUUCGCACAUGGCCAUUCCCUCCCCAUCUCUUCACCUGCAUCCCCUGCAUCUUUUCCAUCCUUCAAUCCCCACUUUCACGUUGCCAUCCCCAUUUCCUUCCUGCAUCCCCUGCAUCCCCUCCAACCCCUCCAUACCCACAUUCCCACCACUGCCUUGCCAUGCCUGACUAAUUCUAUCCUUCUUUCUCCAUCCCUCCAUCACCUUUACCACACGCCCAUUCCCACACUGCCACCUUUCAUCCCCAUCCCUCCAUCCCGGCCUCCCCUCCGUCCCCAUCCUCUCCAUUUCCACACUGCCAUUUCCCAUCCCUCCACCGCCAUUCCCACACUGCCAUUUCCCAUCCUUCCAUCCCCAUUCCCACACUCCCAUCCCCAUCCCUCCAUCCCCAUUCCCACAUUCCCAUCUCCCAUCCCACCGUCCCAUUCCCAAACUCCCAUCCCCAUCCCUCCAUCCCCAUCCUCUCCAUUCCCACACUGCCAUUUCCCAUCCCUCCAUCCCCAUUCCCACACUCCCAUCCCAUCCCUCCAUCCCCAUCCCCAUGCUGCCAUCUCUCAUCCCCAUCCCUCCAUCCCAAUCCUCUCCAUCACCAUUCCCACACUCCCAUCCCCAUCCCUCCAUCCCCAUUCCCACACUCCCAUCCCCAUCCCUCCAUCCCAUUCCCACAUUCCCAUCCCCAUCCCAUUCCCACAUUCCCAUCCCCAUCCCUCCAUCCCCAUCCCUCCAUCACCAUUCCCACACUGACAUCUCCCAUCCCUCCAUCCCCAUUCCCACACUCCCACCCCAUCCCUCCAUCCCCGUCUCCCGUUGCGGGGCCGUUCCCAGGCCUGGAGCUGGAGGCAUCCCCGGCCCAGCUGCAGACCAAGGCCUACGUGCGG